rnacentral:lncRNA from 1 species
GUGGCCACUAUAGUAGACGUCGAUCACGUGCACAAGGCUACAUGUGUGCAAAAUAACGUUCACCGAGGAAAAAAAUUAAAUAAUCACCUCACUCACGUGUUACUGUCAAGUUCAACACAACAAAAACAAUAUAUUUGGGCUACACUGCACAUUAUUACAUCGUACACGUUCUGCCUGUGGACAUCUAUUCUACAAUGUGCCAGCAGAGCACGAUACCCUUUGUUGGCAUAAUUGAUCUCUUUCUGGCAGAGAGUACACCUGGCAUACCCCUUUUAAUCCUCUGUAUUGAAAAAGUGAGAAGGAAGGAAAGUGUGUGGUGUUCCUUCCAACUCUAUGGCGGCUUCCAGCUUAAGCCAGGCCCAGCUCCAGCUACACUUGAUCCCUGAAUCCACUUGUUUAACAAGCAACGCCUCAUUUUCACCUAAUUCUCUUAUUCUGAAAUUAACCACAUACUGUAGAGGGAAAACAUUAGUUCACCGAUAGUACUCUAGUUAGUUUGUUAACUUGUUAACAUUUCACACAGAUUGCCAGGGUCCAGUAAGCAACUAACGUGUCAUAACUUGAGGAACGGCAAGGAGUCGUAUACCAGUUAAUACUAUAGAGAAUGGUUAGGUUACUAAAGUUAGCUCAUCUGAUGUUGUAACGUUAGCUGUUAGCUAAUUUUCACACCAUAAACUCAAUUAUUUGAUCAGUUAAAUUGGCUAAUGUUGCUCAACAUUUCUCUGGCUAGCUAACGGAGAAUUCUACCCAGCUACUGUAGCAAGAUACUUAACAAUGCUAACAAUACUUGUUCCACCACACUUUCUCCCUCACCUCAAACUUUCCAAAUGCCAGUUGUUUUUCGGUUACAGCUCAUGAAGUACCCUUCCUCACUCCUGUCUCCGUGGUCAGGCUUCUCACCUACCUCUUCGUUAUCGUUCAGGGGACGCGCUGCUGUAGCUGGUAAACUGCCAUGCCAUUCCACUCUCCGCUCUUUCAACGCGUGCUGAUGCUGUCUCGUUCGCAUACUGCCAGUAGUGAUACAAAGACCCCCUCCCGCCUAAACUUUUCUCAUCGUAUCUACACGAAUCACGUAGGUCACCUAUUUUGGAAUCAAAACGGCGAACUUCGCUGAAAGGUGACUAGUUUGUAUCCCUGAUGAUUACAUGACCCAUCAAGUUAGCCAGGUGUGUCUGAGGGUGAUUAAGGCCAUCUAUUGUAUUUCAUGAACAUAUGUACAUGUCUAGAUGUAACCGAUGUGAAAUGGCUAGAUAGUUAGCGGUGGUGCGCGCUAAUAGCGUUUCAAUCGGUGACGUCACUCGCUCUUAGACCUGAAGUAGUUGUUCCCCUUGCACUGCAAGGGCUGCGGCUUUUGUGGCGCGAUGGGUAACGAUGCUUCGUGGGUGACUGUUGUUGAUGUGCGCAGAGGGUCCCCGGUUCAAGCCCAGGUUGGGGCGAGGAGAGGGACGGAAGCUAUACUGUUACAUUGGUGCCGUGACCCGGAUCAUUGGUUGCUGCGGAAAAAGGAGGAGGUCAAAAGGGGGGUGAGUGUAACCGAUGUGAAAUGGCUAGCUAGUUAGCGGUGGUGCGCGCUAAUAGCGUUUCAAUCGGUGACGUCACUCGCUCUGAGACCUGAAGUAGUUGUUCCCCUUGCACUGCAAGGGCCGUGGCUUUUGUGGCACGAUGCUUCGUGGGUCUGUUGUUGAUGUGCGCAGAGGGUCCCUGGUUCAAGCCCAGGUUGGGGCGAGGAGAGGAACGGAACCUAUACUGUUACAUAGAGACCAUUUCCUUCACAUGACCCAUACAUUUAGACAAGUGUGUCUGGGUAAGAAUCAUCUAAUAAUAAUAAAAUAUUUAUAAAAUAUUUUUAUCUGGACACUUUCUGUUUUUGAUUCUGAAUGGGUGUAGACGCACAAGAGUUCUCCAGUAGCUCUUCUGUGGGGUUACAAGUUCAUCAACUUUUAAAGCAGAAUUUCUUUGAAUUACAUUGUUCCUCAACUGCAGUGCAUGAUAUACCAUUUUCUAGUUCUGGGUCUCUACUUUUAUCGAAUGUAAAAAACACAAUUUCUAAUUGAAUGGAGGCAUCCGGUCACAUAUGCAUUCACCUGAAUUGUUUAUAGUCCUAGACUACAACUUGAUUUACCCAGUUUAUCAAUAGAGAUGUACCAUUCAAAUAAUUGAUUACCAUUAUGUUGUCAUGGUGUUAGAUUGGUAAAAAAUAAAGUCAAAUUGAUUGUAUAAUUGCUUCAUUAACGUAGACAGUGCCGUCUGAAAGUACUCAGUCCCCUUGACUGUUUCUACAUUUUGCUUCCUUAGAGCUUCAUUCUAAAAUAAAUUAAUACAUUAAUAUUCCUCAACAAUCUACACACAAUACCCCAUAAUGACAAAGCGAAAACAUGUUUUUAAAUGUGUCUUCCGCAUUAAAUUCAACCCCUCUGCAGAAAGACAGAUUUUUACCUUGUCAACUCGUGGAUUUGAUCCAGCAAUCUUUCGGUUAACGCUACUGGCCCAACGCUCCUAUCCGCCUGGGUACUACAGUCGUGCCAGUAUCUAACUUGCUAACCAAUAACAUUUAACAUGAACUAGCUAGCUUUGACAAUUACAUUGUAUUUAUUACCUACAUAAUAUUAACUAAACACAUACGUUUCCAAAACAAUUAUUCUUACCUCGGUCAGUCGGUGGUAGUUGGUGGCAACUGGCAAGCUAAAGCUAACGUUAGCUGUUUUAGCUAACAUUAACGUCAAUUUCACUGAACCUUUGGGUGCUACAACGUUGCCAGCUCGAUGAAAGCUCUUGCUUGCAAGCAGUUCUGAACAAUUUAUUUUCUUCCUCUGUCACCCCAGGUGGAAAUAUAUUUAAAAAUCAAUGUUAUGAAUAUGUAAUUAAAUCAUAUGCAAUUUUCCAUGAGAAAGCGUUUGAUAAUGACCGCUCUUCUCCUUCGUCAGAUGUAGUUUUUUUGAAUUGUAACGGUCGCUGUGUCAGUUGGACUCGGCAGGCAGGCCCCUAUGGAGCGAGAUAGCUGCCAAAAGGUUGAAUGUACUUAUCGUUAGGAUUGUAAUAAAAUCCAUAGGUAAAUUGUUAGGAUCAUAAGAAAAGCCAUGUGAAACGUGAAAUGUAAACUUUAAAUUAGAUCUGUAAAUGUACUAUAUUACGACUACGAAUUAACAUUUACACAUAGAUUUUUUUGUUGUUGUUCAUUUACAUUUUGGGGGUAUAUAUAUAUAGAGAGAGAUUUUUCUUACUUUACGUCUCCCUUUACUCGGUUACAGAACUUUUUUAUACCUACAAACCUUUGUCAGUAAUGUGGCAUCUGCAGUGGACAUGAACCAAACGUAGCUAGUUGGAGUUAGCUACUCAAUCAAGCAACUCUAGCCCAGAUAUUAGAGUAACUUUGCAGCUUCUGGAUGAAUUUCCAAA